rnacentral:lncRNA from 1 species
CCAUAUUUUGUUUCUUAUUGAAACAAAAUUAAGUUCAAAAAAGAUGGAGAUGAUGCGUUUGAAGUGCGGUUACCAAAAUGGGAUAGAUAUUGGGGCAAUUGGUUCGAAGGGAGGCUUAUCUUUGGGUUGGAAAGGUAAUGAUCUUGUCUCGAUUAGAAGCUAUUCAUCCUCUCAUGUGGAUGCGACAAUUCACGACCCUGAAAAUAGAGUCGUAUAGAGGCUUACGGGCUUUU